rnacentral:rRNA from 1 species
UACAGAGGUCUCAAGCGUUUGUUCGGAUUCAUUGGGCGUAAAGGGUGCGUAGGUGGCGUCGUAAGUCAGGUGUGAAAUCUCGGGGCUUAACUCCGAAACUGCAUUUGAUACUGCGGUGCUUGAGGACUGGAGAGGAGACUGGAAUUUACGGUGUAGCAGUGAAAUGCGUAGAGAUCGUAAGGAAGACCAGUGGCGAAGGCGGGGUCUCUGG